CGGAGUGUAGUGUAACGGCUAACAUUCCUGUUUUGGGAACAGGCGACUCUGGGUUCGAAUCCCAGCACCCCGA
rfam:Parcubacteria bacterium C7867-003 C7867_00281, whole genome shotgun sequence.